GACGAACGCUGGCGGCGCGCCUAACACAUGCAAGUCGAACGGGCGAGAGAGAGCUUGCUUUCUUGAGCGAGUGGCGAACGGGUGAGUAACGCGUGAGGAACCUGCCUCAAAGAGGGGGACAACAGUUGGAAACGACUGCUAAUACCGCAUAAGCCCACGACCCGGCAUCGGGUAGAGGGAAAGGAGCAAUCCGCUUUGAGAUGGCCUCGCGUCCGAUUAGCUAGUUGGUGAGGUAACGGCCCACCAAGGCGACGAUCGGUAGCCGGACUGAGAGGUUGAACGGCCACAUUGGGACUGAGACACGGCCCAGACUCCUACGGGAGGCAGCAGUGGGGAAUAUUGCACAAUGGGGGAAACCCUGAUGCAGCGACGCCGCGUGGAGGAAGAAGGUCUUCGGAUUGUAAACUCCUGU
rnacentral:rRNA from 1 species